GUUGAUGUGCUGGUUGGAUUUCAUACAGUUUCUCUUCUGAUCCUGGAAACCCCAUAUCAGUUAUUGGCCUGGUUACUUGAAGACAUUACUUUUUUUACAGAAAGCUUUUGAACUUUGUUUUGUUUUGUAAUAGUACUGUUAGGCUUAGGUACUGUUAGGCUUAGGUACUGUUUGGCAAAGCAAUAAUAACUGGUGGUUGUUUGGUGUACCAAGACACUAUUGUAUUCUCUUUGGUUGUCCAAAUGCUUUUACGUACUAAUCUUUCUUGGUGUCACUGUCAACUAGGAAUGGAAUGUGCACAUGCUACUGUUGCCACAAAUGCUUCGUUCUUCGCCUUUACUCGUUGAGCCAAUCUGGUCCUUCAAUCAAGUUCAGUGGUGCAUGCUUUCACCAAGCAACAUUCUCUCAUAUGUAUCUUACGUUUUGUGGGUCACGUAAUUAGGUUGGGACUGCUCAUCUUUCAUUUUCAUCUAUCUGUAUACUGCUCCUACGUGCAUUAUCAUGAACUGUAGAUUAUACAAUAGUCCGAAAGCGACCUGAGAAUAACACCAACGUGAGGGUCUUCCUCUUCUGGAAAGUUGCCAGCUAGAGUCUCUUUUGUUGUUUUCUGUUCCCAUUAAUUGUGUGCCUCAUUAAGCUUAAAUACUUUUGCAAUGAUUUAUCUAGGGCUCAAUGAUAUAUGUAUACCAGCUAAUUCAUUUUCCAUGUAACAGAUCGCAUCUUGUAACAGCAAAUUUUGGUAUAGCUGUCAGUUGAAUUUGUCAAGCAAGAACUUGUCUCUAUCUUUUAGUUUAUAUGUUACAUCUCUAACUAUAACUUUCCAGCAAACUGUUUCUUUUAGCUACUAUAAAUGCAAUUAAUAUAUGUCAUGUUUGUUUUAACUUUCUCUGAUGGGUGUGGUUCUACUGUGUUGACAACGUGCGAAAGAAAUGACAACAGAAGAAUCAUGUGAAGCUCUUGAACGUAGCAGGACUUUUUCUGUUAGCAAGCAUAGCUCUGCUGUUAGCUACUUGAGCCACACAUCAUAGAAACAAUAUUGGUAAUCUUAGAAACUCCUGUUUAUGGUUGAUGUGUUGAAGAUGAAGAUAUGUAUGUGAAGAACAUGGUACAUAUGGUAUAACAUUAACAGGGUUGAACGGAGAACCGUGCAGAUAACUUAUUUGGGAUAGCAUCUACAAAAAAAAAAAACAUAUUCCGGCAAAUGAAAACAAAGCAACUACCUACACACAUGGCUUAUUAAAGGCAAACAACAGGAUUGGUUGGCGUUUUUCAAUGUAGACUUGCUUAGAACCAUUCUUCCUAGCUGCAUGUUUGUUGAUGUUGUUUGGAAGGUGAUUGCUAGGCCCUGAAGAUGCAUCAGAGGUCAUCGAAUCAUCACUCUCUUUACCACCAUCAUCAUUCUCAUAACCAUCAUCGGCAUAUUUUACAUGUGACUCAUCAUCAUCAUUAUCAUCAACAACAACAGUAGAAUGGUCAUUUCCUUGAAUGGCGUCUCCUAUGUACAUAGUCCACCCUGACUCACAACUGCUGUAUUCCUCCUCCUCGGAGCCUACAUGGUUCCUAGGGGACUCCAUGGCUUUGAUCAACGUAAAGAAGAGAACAAACCAAGGUUUCAAUGUUAGCAUAUAUGGACACACACACAAAAGAUAACUAGAUUUGUCUAGUUACAUACCUUGUUUAUUUCAAUCCACUUCACCACUUUACUCUCUGAUUUAGGCUGUGUCUCGGUCUCUCUUUGGUUUUGCUCUUCCAUCAUCAAUAAAUAGAAUUUUUUUUCCAAGUAUCAAGAAAAGCCGGAGCCUAUUAGAAGCCUCAUAUAAUUGAAGAGAAGGAGUAAGUUUCACCCACAUGGCAACCCCUAGCACCAUUGUUUUCACUCAAUUGAAGCACUACCAGACAAAGCCAUUGCAGAUAUAUGUCAACCAAGGAAGGUUAGUGCCUUCUUCAAUAUAAAGUAGUCUCUCAUAUAGAAUUAAAAGCCUAUCCUCAUCUUUUUCUAUAAUAAUAUUUAUAUUUAUCUAAACUUUUCCUUAAACAAAUAUAUUGGUUACUAACAACCUGUAAUCUAGUCUAGAGUCAGGACACAUCAAUAUCCACAAAAUAAGAAUCAUCCUUCUGAGCUCUGUCAUUAGUGAGCUCAUAAGUUGAACUUAUCAUGUGCUCUUCUUAAUUGAUAAUAUUCAUAUGACUCGAGUAAGUUUUAACUUCUCUGUACUCUUUCUUAUCUCUUAUGUAUCACAUGCUAUCUUAAAUAGUAUUAAAGAUCAGCUUUCGAGGUGGAAAGCAGAAGAGACCCACCUCAACAGCAAGAAGGACUAAAAGAAGGCAUUUACUUAAGUAGGUUAAGAGCUGUUUCUCUUCUUCAUUCCUUUAAUACUCUUCUUCCUCCUCCAAUCCUCUUACUAUCUUUAAAAUCGUUGCAGCCUUUUCUUGCUGUCUCAAUGAAUUGAAUGAAAGGUGAAACCCAACUGGAUUUUAGUUGUCAUUUUAUUUUCCUCUUAAGAUAAGGACAGAACUAAAAGGAGUAUAACAACUGUCACAUAAAAUACUUACUGAGUCCAUACUUAUCGAGUCCAUAUUACAAAGGGGUUGCUUGAAUAUAAAUUGCCUUCAUUACGUUCCCUGUUUCUCUGGCGUCAUCACCUUAAAAUGUUCUUCAAUGGAGGCCAUCUUGAUGACAGCUAGCAAAUUCAAGUGUGUGAUGAGAUAGUCCAUAAUACAAAAGGGUUGUUUUGUUUUGACUUUGAUUAAUUUUUAAGUAAAGCUAAAGAAAGUUAUUUAGCUUUGGGCUUAAAACAGUUUGCUUUCUUUAAGAAACAAUUCUAAAAGGGGUGGUACUACAGUGGGUCUAACGAACUUGGAGAGAUGUGUGUCUUAGGAUUUGUUACAGUUUGUACUAUUCGGUAAUGUCUGAAAAACAGGGUUGGACUCAUUGGAUUUUCUCAUGUGGGUCUCUUUCUAUCAAUCCUACGUGUGUGACUGUGGAAUGUCAUUUCGGUGUGAAAAAGGACGGGACACUCUGUGGAUUGGCUCUUUAGUGCAUGUUGGACUAGUUGUUGGUGUUAUAUCUCUAAAUCAAUUGAUAACAAGUGGUGAGUUUAGAUCAAAAAUUCAUUUUCUUGUUGGUAACUUAAUCACUAGAAGAAACAGAAUGAAUUAGCAAAAAACUUUUGAUAGAUUGGCUGAGUAAAAUCAUUUAUCUUGUUGUUUUGUGAAAUGCUAUGAAAAAGGGCAUGUGUCAUUUAGCACCAAAAUCUUGAUUUGUCUGUCCCCUAUUCAUCACUCACAAAAUGUGUAUUAAAUUUUAUGAUCAUUCCAGCUGCUUCACAAUCUAUAUACCAUGUUCAAGACCGGUCCAUAAGACAAACCAUUCAAGCAAUCGAUUAUGGCAUAUAUUUUAAGGGGGCAUACUUUUAUUUUAUUGUUUCACAUUAAAAUUUUGUUAAUAUUUAUAUGUAAAUAUAAUUUAUAGUUAUGUUGAAAAUAGUAAUAUUUAUAAGAACUGUUAGGAUUGAUUAUAAUUUUUUUUGCUAAUACAUAUAAUGAUUAAUUGUAUUAUUAAAUAAGAAUUAAUUUUGGA